GUCGAACGCUGGCGGCGUGCUUAACACAUGCAAGUCGAACGAUGAACCUGGAGCUUGCUCCGGUGGAUUAGUGGCGAACGGGUGAGUAACACGUGAGUAACCUGCCCUUGACUCUGGGAUAACUGCGGGAAACUGUAGCUAAUACCGGAUACGACCCUCGGCGGCAUCGCCAGGGGGUGGAAAGAAUUUCGGUCAAGGAUGGACUCGCGGCCUAUCAGCUAGUUGGUGAGGUAACGGCUCACCAAGGCGACGACGGGUAGCCGGCCUGAGAGGGUGACCGGCCACACUGGGACUGAGACACGGCCCAGACUCCUACGGGAGGCAGCAGUGGGGAAUACUGCACAAUGGGCGCAAGCCUGAUGCAGCAACGCCGCGUGAGGGAUGACGGCCUUCGGGUUGUAAACCUCUUUUAGUAGGGAAGAAGCGAAAGUGACGGUACCUGCAGAAAAAGCACCGGCUAACUACGUGCCAGCCGCCGCGGUAA
rnacentral:rRNA from 1 species